rnacentral:misc_RNA from 1 species
AAGUCAUAACAAGGUUUCUGUAGGUGAACCUGCAGAAGGAUCAUUAUUGAAUUGUAAAAAUGGGGAGUUGCUUUCGAGCACUCCUCUAUAUUCUUAAUUCCUAAACACCUGUGAAUCGUUGCUGAGCUCGCUCAGUGGCACAAUCUUUAUACACAUCUUAUUAGAUUUGAAAACAAGAAUAAAAACAAAAACUAAAAUAUAA